GACCGAGCAGCGAAGUGGUAUCGCGUCUGCUCGACUUUUAUGAGGAAAAUUUCGGCGGAAAGCGCCCGUUCGAGUCGGGUCUGGGUCA